rnacentral:rRNA from 1 species
UACGUAGGGUGCAAGCGUUAAUCGGAAUUACUGGGCGUAAAGCGUGCGCAGGCGGUGAUGUAAGACCGAUGUGAAAUCCCCGGGCUUAACCUGGGAACUGCAUUGGUGACUGCAUUGCUAGAGUAUGGCAGAGGGGGGUGGAAUUCCACGUGUAGCAGUGAAAUGCGUAGAGAUGUGGAGGAACACCGAUGGCGAAGGCAGCCCCCUGGGCCAAUACUGACGCUCAUGCACGAAAGCGUGGGGAGCAAACA